AAUAGGAGCAAUAAGCUACAAAAUAAAUUGAAGUUCUGCCUAGAAGACAAACACUCUUUAUUAAUAUGACUCAGCUACUGAAGCACUGGAACAUGGAAAACUUGUUAAAAUUGCCAAGUCUCUAAUUCAGCACUGUCAUCCAUGACCCCCUGUACCUCCAAAAGAUAUAUACACAUCAUUGCCUCCAAUAUCCAUGAACGCUUUUGGCAAAAACACCAUAUUCCCUAGGAGACAGGGCAGGAGGGGACCACUGGGAUGGGAAAUGGCAGCAGAGCCCCUGGCUAUGACAUCAGGCCUCUUAAACUGAUGGCUGGGACGCUAAUAACAAGAGCACUUUGUUUCUUAAUGGACCUCUGGGAUCCUCAGUGCACCCUCAGUGUAAAAAGUCAUUUAGGUCCAUUGAUGCAUUCAUUCCAAGCAUCUGCAGAGUUGUGUGUCCUUUCUAUCCUUUCAUUCAAGCGUUUCUCAAAGAAAUCAGACCAAGGAGACAGAUAAGAAGACAAAGACGGAGUUUGAAAAACUCCACACUUCAAAGCGCCAUUUUCCUUAAUCUGUAAAAUCCAGACAAAUUCAGAAGUCCACUGAAUGAGUAACCUAUGUUCAGAAUAAUGUUCAACCACACAGUAUUGCUAGUGGAAUGCCAAAGCUGUUCUAAAAAUUUCCGAGGACAAUCUCUUGCUUUCUUAAUUUUAAUCCUACACUCUAGCUUUUUAUUGCAUCUUAAUAUGUUUAAAAUAUAUUUUAAAUAAAGAUAUUUGAGAAUCAGCUGUUUUAAAUCACCACAUUUAAC